AUUGAACGCUGGCGGCAUGCCUUACACAUGCAAGUCGAACGGCAGCACGGGUGCUUGCACCUGGUGGCGAGUGGCGAACGGGUGAGUAAUACAUCGGAACAUGUCCUGUAGUGGGGGAUAGCCCGGCGAAAGCCGGAUUAAUACCGCAUACGAUCUACGGAUGAAAGCGGGGGACCUUCGGGCCUCGCGCUAUAGGGUUGGCCGAUGGCUGAUUAGCUAGUUGGUGGGGUAAAGGCCUACCAAGGCGACGAUCAGUAGCUGGUCUGAGAGGACGACCAGCCACACUGAGACUGAGACACGGCCCAGACUCCUACGGGAGGCAGCAGUGGGGAAUUUUGGACAAGGGGCGAAAGCCUGAGCCAGCAAUGCCGCGUGUGUGAAGAAGGCCUUCGGGUUGUAAAGCACUUUUGUCCGGAAAGAAAUCCUUGGCCCUAAUACGGUCGGGGGAUGACGGUACCGGAAGAAUAAGCACCGGCUAACUACGU
rnacentral:rRNA from 1 species